UACGAAGGGUGCAAGCGUUACUCGGAAUUACUGGGCGUAAAGCGCGCGUAGGCGGACCUGCAAGUCGGGGGUGAAAGCCCGAGGCUCAACCUCGGAACUGCCUUCGAUACUGCGGGUCUCGAGUCCGGGAGAGGUGAGUGGAAUUCCUAGUGUAGAGGUGAAAUUCGUAGAUAUUAGGAAGAACACCAGUGGCGAAGGCGGCUCACUGGCCCGGUACUGACGCUGAGGCGCGAAAGCGUGGGGAGCAAACAGGG
rnacentral:rRNA from 1 species